UCGCGAAUUGUUUCCAUUCCCGUUUUCCAGGCCACGCUGGCGGGAGUGGAACUGACCCCACCUGUGACUUUCCGGCUGCGAAGCGGCUCCGGUCCCGUCUAUGUCAGUGGCCAGCACGUGUCCCUGACAAACUUCAGCUCGGAGGAUGAGGAUGAGGAAGAGGAAAUAGUAGAGGAGACCCCCGAGAAGCCUCCCAAGGCCUCAAGUGCCCGGAAAGGUGGUGCCACCAAGAAAAGGAAGCUGGAAAAGGAGGAUGAGCCGAACAGCCUGGCCCGUGAGGAUCCCCUUCCCCCCAAGGGGCGCGGGGCCGGCCGGGGCAGGAAAGCAGCACCGAAGAAAUAACGGGAAUUCCAUCGGAGCCGGGCCAGGUGCGGCCGAGGCUGGAGCAGCAGCAGCAGCCAGUGGUGGUGGUGGUGUGGUUCCCUAAUAAAGCACAUUUUGCACUC